rnacentral:rRNA from 1 species
GGCAUGCCUAACACAUGCAAGUCGAACGAAGGCUUCGGCCUUAGUGGCGCACGGGUGCGUAACGCGUGGGAAUCUACCCUUGGGUUCGGAAUAACAGUGAGAAAUUACUGCUAAUACCGGAUGAUGUCGAAAGACCAAAGAUUUAUCGCCCGAGGAUGAGCCCGCGUAGGAUUAGCUAGUUGGUGAGGUAAAGGCUCACCAAGGCGACGAUCCUUAGCUGGUCUGAGAGGAUGAUCAGCCACACUGGGACUGAGACACGGCCCAGACUCCUACGGGAGGCAGCAGUGGGGAAUAUUGGACAAUGGGCGAAAGCCUGAUCCAGCAAUGCCGCGUGAGUGAUGAAGGCCUUAGGGUUGUAAAGCUCUUUUACCCGGGAUGAUA